rnacentral:rRNA from 1 species
GGGAGGCGACAAGAGUAGUAUACCUCGUAGUCGUACGUCCGUAAACGAUGAGUAGCUACGUGGUUGGUAGUCCUUUCCGGUACGUUCUAGUGCCGUCAGCUAAACGACAAUUAAAGUCGACUCCGCCGUGGGAGUACGACCGCAAGGUUGAAACUCAAAGGAAUUGACGGGGCCCGGCACAAGCGGUGGAGCGUAAUCGUGGUUUAAAUUCGAAGCAACGCGAAGUAACUUACCAGGUCUUGACAAUUCCCGGAUGCUAGUUUCUAGAGAUAGAAAGUUAACGUUCGGUACAUCGGUGACAGGUGGUGCAUGGUUGUCGUCAGCUCGUGUCGUGAGAUGUUUGGGGUUUAAAGUCCCCGCAAACGAGCGCAAACCCCUCGUGUUUUAGUUGCCCAUCAUUAAAGUUUGGGGCAGUCGUGGGGAGGCAAAGGCACACAGGGGGAUAGG